GUCGAGAAUCUUUCACAAUGGGGGCAACCCUGAUGGAGCGACGCCGCGUGGAGGAUAAGGUCUUCGGAUUGUAAACUCCUGUCAUGCGUGAACAAGGUUGCUUGGUUAAUACCUGGGCAAAUUGAUGGUAACGCAAGAGGAAGAGACGGCUAACUCUGUGCCAGCAGCCGCGGUAAUACAGAGGUCUCUAGCGUUGUUCGGAAUCACUGGGCGUAAAGGGUGCGUAGGUGGCGUGGUAAGUCAGAUGUGAAAGUCCGGGGCUCAACCUCGGAACUGCAGCCGAUACUGCCAGGCUAGAGUACUGGAGAGGUGACUAGAAUUCUCGGUGUAGCAGUGAAAUGCGUAGAUAUCGAGAGGAAUACCAAAGGCGUAGGCAGGUCACUGGACAGUUACUGACACUGAGGCACGAAGGCCAGGGGAGCGAACGGGAUUAGAAACCCGAGUAGUCC
rnacentral:rRNA from 1 species